UUAAGGGUAGGGGAUAUAAAUAAGGGUAGGUAGGGGUUACGGUAAACACACAUAUUUUUUUGGCAUAAGUUGAAAAUUUGGGCAUUGGCCCAACUUUAACUCCUUAUAUCUUGGCAACAGGCCAAGAUACUUCAAAUCCAUUGAUAUACUACCGAAAGCCCUCAAUUAAAUCUACUUUAUGAUUAAAAAAUCAUUCAGAUAUGAUGUAAACUAAAUUCUAAACUAAUCAUAUUGGCAUUUCUUCAAUUUUCAAUUUUACCCCCAUAGUAAAUUUUAGCAACUGCAGUCAUGUUAUUCUACUGAUCAAAAUCCCAAAAACUAUUUUUGUAGAGAAUACACUUAUCUGUGCCAAGUUUGGUUAAUCC
rnacentral:lncRNA from 1 species